GAUGAACGCUGGCGGCGUGCUUACACAUGCAAGUCGAACGAUGAAGCCCAGCUUGCUGGGUGGAUUAGUGGCGAACGGGUGAGUAACACGUGAGUAACCUGCCCUUAACUCUGGGAUAAGCCUGGGAAACUGGGUCUAAUACCGGAUAGGAGCGUCCACCGCAUGGUGGGUGUUGGAAAGAUUUAUCGGUUUUGGAUGGACUCGCGGCCUAUCAGCUUGGUGGUGAGGUAAUGGCUCACCAAGGCGACGACGGGUAGCCGGCCUGAGAGGGUGACCGGCCACACUGGGACUGAGACACGGCCCAGACUCCUACGGGAGGCAGCAGUGGGGAAUAUUGCACAAUGGGCGAAAGCCCGAUGCAGCGACGCCGCGUGAGGGAUGACGGCCUUCGGGUUGUAAACCUCUUUCAGUAGGGAAGAAGCGAAAGUGACGGUACCUGCAGAAGAAGCACUGGCUAACUACGUGCCAGCCGCCGCGGUAA
rnacentral:rRNA from 1 species